UCCGAGUUGACCCCGGCGGUCUCCCAUGAGUCCCCACCAUAACGUGCUGGCAACAUGGAACGAGGGUUGCGCUCGUUGCGGGACUUAACCCAACAUCUCACGACACGAGCUGACGACAGCCAUGCAGCAUCUGUGGUGCACCCUCGAAGGUCACACGUUUCCGUGCGCUUGCAGCACCAUGUCAAGCCCAGGUAAGGUUCUUCGCGUUGCAUCGAAUUAAAGAACAUGCUCCGCUGCUUGUGCGGGCCCCCGUGCCUUGCGGCCGUACUCCCCAGGCGGAACACUUAACGCGUUGGCUGCGGCACAGAGGGAUUCGACUCCCCCCACACCUAGCACCCAUCGUUUACGGCGUGGACUAC
rnacentral:misc_RNA from 1 species